rnacentral:tRNA from 1 species
GGACGUCUAGCUCAGUUGGUUAGAGCAUCUCGUUUACACCGAGAGGGUCGGGGGUUCGAGUCCCUCGACGUCCACCA